UCCUGGAUGACGUUCUGUAUGUAUUGCGGAACUCCACAACAAGAUCCAUACUUCUUAAAAGUUAAAUCUACUAUAGUUGAAGAAAAUACAAGAUGGUUCAUACAGGUCGAAAAUACAAGAUCGUAAAAGAUAAGAUGAAAGAAAAGAGAAGGGGAGAAGAAAAGAAAGAUAAUCCAAUUAAAAGAAAGUGGAGAGGUCAAGUUGACGAUUAUGAAGGAAAAGAAUAGAAGUCGUGAGGUUCUGAGAUUGAUAACUGAUUAAAUUUCAAAGGAGCAUGACAUGAUUCGACCAAAUUUGUAACUUCCCUAAAAUAUUAAUCCCCAGAAAAAAUUUAAUGUUCAUCCAUAUUGUCAACAUUUGCUAUUUAAAUAGAGUAAAUUAGACAAAGAAAAGAAAAAAAAACAGCACAUGUAGGCCACCCACAAUCAAACAAUCUAUCAUUUUCUUUCUCAAACAUGAUUAAACAAAAGGAAAGAAAGUACCUUUAUGUGGGGACCAAAACUUUUAAAAUCCAAUAUCCAAGAUAGCCGAAUGCUUCAACAAUUUCCUUGAUAGUGAUGUGGUCCCAAGCUUUAUAAUCUUCUUGCCAACAUGUGUGGUCCAGAGCUUCCAGAUUUCUUCUCAAUUUGUCUUCACUUCGACUAUGUGUGAACAGUUAGGGUUUACGAUUUUGGGUCUAUAUAAAUAAUGGGUGAAAUUAAGAGUUUGGAACUUGGAAAUAGAAGAUAGGAAGAUGUUUUGUAUGGGCGAAGGGGAAUUUUACAGAGAAAGAAAGUCAUAGAAGAAUGGAGGCUGAAACAAAGAGACAAUGAUAUUUCGCGGUAGACAAAGAAAAUAAAGAGGGAAAGUGGCAUUUUUAUACUACAAAUUAAAUGACACAUUUUAAAAAGAAGAGUCACCUUUUAAUUAAUUAAAGAUGACUUCUUAUUUAGUCGUGAGUCAUUUUUAUGUCAUAAGUAAAAAUAAUUUUAUAAUAUAUGACUUCCAAAAGUAAAUAAAAUUCAUCUAAACUAAUAGAUGACAAUUAAUAGUAUGUUUGUUAUGUAUUACAUGUCAUCUUUGUCCUGUUUUGUAGUAGUGACUGUCCAGGUACCACCCCUGAUCAACAACUCCUUCUGAAGUAGCCAUAUAAGCAGUUCUUGGCCCUUGAUUCUGCAUUAGAGAAUUUGGAACAAAAUUCCUAUUGAACCUGUUUCUACAAUCAGCAGCUGAAUGAUUUGGUUUAAAACAAAUUUGGCAAGUAAUGUUUCCUCUACCACCUUCUCUACCAAAACCACUAGAGAAUCCAGGAUUUCCACUAUUAAACACACCAUUUCCAUUGAAUCCACCAGUAUUUCCAUUAAAACCAACAGAGUUUGAACAUCUUCCUUGAUUUCCAAACCAGCCUCUCCUUGAAUUUUGUUCCAUAUAGCCACCUCUGCUAGAUCCAUAACCUCCUUUGUUGUUAAAGUUACCAUUUCCAUUUCUAUUCACAAAAUUUCCAUUCCAAUUUCCCUAGUUAUUAGUAUUCCAAUUAGUAUUAUUUCCUGACUUUUUCUGAUUAUUACCAGUUUGAGCCACGUUAGCAGUAAAAUUCAACUUAUUUUCCUUAGCUGCACUAGAAUGAUUACUCUCAAGCCUAGCUUUAUGAGAUAGCAGCAUAGAAUAAGCCUCAUUAAUGCUCAUUUUAAGAACAUUUGCCUCAAUAUAAACCACAAUAGGAUAGUAAGGCUAUCCUAGACCUGAGAUCAAAUGUGUAAUGAAGUCAAGAGAGCUAACUGGACUUCCAGCUAUUGCUAAUUCAUCAGUUAUUGACCUCAAUUUACAAAAAUAUUCAAUAAUUGACAUGGAUCCUUUCUUAAGAUUAUUUAGCAACAUCUUUAAAUGCACUUUCUUAACUGUUGUUUCAGAUCCAAAUUGUUCCUCUAGACUUAUCCAAAGUUCUCGAUAAGUUUUAGAAUUUACCACAAUACUUAAGAUCUCCACACUGAUUGAAGAUAGAAGCCAGCUCAAGAUCAUCUGAUCUUGCCUUUUCCAAGUAGUGUAAGCAGGAUUUUCUGAGAUGACUGCAGUAUUUGUGCUCGUUGAUUCACCAGUCAGUAGUUGGUUUGGACAAGUAUGCGAUCCAUCAAGAAAGCCUUCCAGAUCAUUUGCUCGAAUGGCUAAAAGGAUCUAAGAUUUCCAUAUAGUAUAAUUUGAUUUAUCAAGCUUGAGUGGUGUUGUGAAAGUAAAUGUUAAAAUUGCGGAAGAAACAUUUGUACUAAGACUUGAAGAAGCCAUGAACGAAAAGUUAUUCAAGGCUCUGAUACCAAAUUAGAGUUUGAUCAGCUGAUUUAGAGUGUUUGGUCACAGAGAAAAUAUGAGUGAAAACCAAAGAAAAUUUAUCUGAGAAAAUUCAUUUUAUUCAACACGUUAACAAAUGAGAUUACAAGCUUAUAUACUGUUGUCCAGAAUCUUCUUAACACAUACAUCAUCUUCACGUGUAUCUCAUCUUUCUAAGAAACAGAAUAACAAACUUAACAAGCUAAUAACUACUUUGCUGACUGGACUGCCACGUCACUAUAACUAACUUAACGAAUUCAAACUGUCAACACAUAUUCUUAACAUUUUUUACUUUUAGUUAUUUAUUUUUAUGUUAGGCUCAAAAUUGCUCAGUUAACCACUAAAACCAUAACUAGAAUGUAAAUUGUGUUUAUAUUUUUCUUUGAUCAAAUUGCAACAAUGUGCGUGUGAUUGGAAGCUUUGUGAUAUGAAGUAGACUAGUGCUGCCUCUGGAGGCUUGGAAUUUGAAAUUGGUUGGUAAAAUGAAAAAGUUAUUUACCAGAAUGCCCAUGUUGUAUUGUACAUUCUGGCAAAUGCUCGAUGUAUGCAUAGCUCAUGAUUUUGUAUUUUGCUUCUUUUUUUCUUUUCCCUCCACUUCAGUCAUACCAAAAUCCACUGCAAAAGAGUCAAGCAGAUGCUGAUGUCAAGUAAGCCCCUAGAGCUUUAUUUUCCAAAGAACACAGAGACUUGAAGGAGAAAGGGGAGACAUGGAUGAAGGAUAUUGCAUCAUCAUGUAUGAUUGUGGCUACACCUACCGCCACUGUUGUCUUUGCCGCAACUAUAACAGUACCAGGAGGCAACAAAGAAGACACAGGGCUGCCUUUUUUCCUUCAUAAUGUUUCCUUCAAGAUUUUUGCUGUGUCAAAUGUGAUAUCGCUGGUAGCCUCCUCUGACUCAAUAGUGAAUUUUUUAUCCAUUGUUAUGCAGAUGAAGAUUUCGUUCGUUUGUUGCCAACAAAGCUUCUUGUUGGAUUUGCCACACUUUUCAUAGCAAUAGCAGCAAUGCUGGUGGUGUUCUUCUGCAACAAGUUAUAUUGUCUUCGUGGACGGAAAUUUAUGGACUGCUAUUCUGGCUAUUGUAGUUUCUUUCAUGCCAGUCAUCCUGUUUGUUAAGCAACAUUUGCUAUUCAUCAAGGACGUUCUACGAUCAACCUAUGCAACAGAUUAUCUCAUCCAAGAAGGUAAAACUAGUCUUUUCCACAAAGCGGAGGAAACAACAACUAUGCACCAGAGGAAGACCAAGCUGUUCGAUUUCAAUGGAUCAAAUUUAACAGUUCCAUGCACAUCAUUAUGUAGUACAAAUGUUUAAGUUUGAUUCUCACUCACAAUUUCAGAGAAUGUAACACUGGGGCUUGAUCAGAGCCUGAAUACGUCUGGUGGUCUGAUCCUCUGUCAGUAAUCUCUCCUGCCUUUUGCGAUUAAUGACCCUCAAGGUCAUCCUAGACUCCUGGUUAUUAGCUGCGUUAUGCAUGUAAGCCUAACUAUAUUCCCGUUACGUGCCCUUGUAACUUUCAUUAAUAAAGUGCCUUGUAACUUUAAAAGAAAAAAGAAAAAGAAAAAGAAAAAAGUUUUGACAAAAUUGUGGGAGAAGGCACUAAUGAACACACCCAAUUGCCAAACAAAAAUUUGAAGUUUGAACAAUGUAAUUAAGCUUGGUCGCCGUGUCAAUUUAAAAUCCCAUUUGAAGCAUAAAAUAUUGAUCAAUAAGACAAUUAGUCCAAGGAAAUUUUGGACAAUAUGUUGCAGCAACAAUCGUAAGACAUCGUCUUUGUUUGUAGAGUAAACUUUAAUUCACCCUCGGUACUGAGUACCAUAGUUUUCAAUUUAUUUCUUAAAAGCAUGAAAUUUACUCUCAUUUUCGUCCGGAAGAUGAUGAUAAAUGGGGACGCAUAGAUAACUUUUAAAUUUUAUUUUAUUUUCUUAAUAAUAAAUGGGAAUAAAUUGGUGUUUUCACACUUUUAAUAGAUAAAUUGGUGUUUUCUUAAUAUUACUUUUUUUGUUUUUGAUGCUCACAUGAUGUGUCUCUGCCCAUUUUGGCUAUUAUUAAAACCAUGAAACCUAACCCUAAAUUACAACAAACAUAAAAUAAAAUAAAAUUUGCCAAAAUACCGUAACACCUAUAUAUGUGCUCCCUUGGAAAGGCAUCACAGGAAGCUGAUUGGAAGUGUUUCUGAUGCCAGGUGUAUUUCAAGUCAGAUGAAGUUCGUGCUUGCAUAGUGACUUGUGGUGGCUUAUGCCCAGGGAUUAAUACAGUCAUUCGGGAGAUAGUCUGUGGCUUGAGUUACACGUAUGGGGUUGAUGGUAUACUUGGAAUUGAGGUGAGAUCAAUCGAUGUUUAACUUCCUUCACUCAAGAUCUCUUAGUUGUUCUUGGUCAGUUUAUCUUCAAUAUAUUUUUUUAAUACUGAAUUUUUAUCUAAACUUUCUAUACAGUACUAUAGUAACUUUUACAUUACUUUUUUCAUUUUGGGUGAAAGAAUCACCAAAGUGGAAUGGUGAAUUUAUACCGAUAAUUCAUAACAAGUCCGAUAAAUUUAAAAUUAAUACCGAAGAGGAAAAAUUAAAUAAUACACGUAAUUAGGAAACAUAAACUGUAUAUUUUAUAAUUUUAUUUAUUUUAUUUUAGUUAUUUGAAUUUUCCAUUUUUGAACGGUUUUUAUGAAUAUUUUUGUUUUUAGGAUUUAUCUUUGACUGCAAGUGACCGAGUGUGUCUAUAAAUGAGAAGUGAAAAGUCAAUUACGCUUAAUCAUAGUAAUUGAAUCAGUUAGAAUUUUUUUGAGUUAAUUUAUUGAUCUGUGAUUGUAUUUUUGGAUUAUGCAGUGCUACAGAUUGGAAGUUUGGAGCUAAGCAGUUCGUUAAGAGACUGCCUGAUAAAGUUUUUGUGCACUGUAAGGAUUGUUUAUAUCUGCAUUAUGUAUCAUAAAUUGAUUGGGAUGUUUUGCGAAUGUAAUGCAAUUUUUUGUGCUAAUUAUUUGUCAUUUGUGCAAAAUGAACUUUUCUUCCAGAGCAUGCUAACUAUUACAUGUAAAAACUAGUGCAAUAUUGGUAUUUAAGCUUUCAUUAUAUUUUGUUGGAUACAUUUUGUAGGUAGUGAACGAAACAUGUCGAGGCUGACUCUAGAUGGUGUGGAUGUGAUGGGCGAGCGCUUGGCACAGGAGGUUGGUUUCUUGUUAUUAUUUGGAUUGUCAUAGAUAAUUGGAUUCACCUGGAAUUCAAAAAGUCUAUUUACCUUUUAUGUGAGAGUAUCCACUUCACACUCUGUUUUGUUAUUAACAGAAUGCUUGAAUUCUAGGUCCUUGAAGUGAUUGAAAGAAAGCCAAAUCUGCAGAAAAUCUCCUUUGUCGCGCAUUCCGUUGGAGGUUUAGUGGCAAGAUAUGCAAUUGGGAGACUGUAUAGACCUCCUAAGAUAGAGAAUGGAGAAGAUUCAUCAGCUGAUACAUCAUCAGAGAACUCAAGGGGUACAAUAGCUGGUGGCUUAGAGGCUAUUAACUUCAUCACUGUUGCUACACCUCAUCUUGGUUCAAGGGGUAAUAAGCAGGUAUGUUUUUAUCUUCACAGUUUUAACUUAGAUUCAUUUCUUCAUUAAAGUCAAAUUUCAUGAACACAAAAUGAAAAAUAUACUUUGAGAAAGCUUUGUGAAGGAAAAUUAUAGCUCAUAAAAUCAUUUGGGAUGGCUGUG
rnacentral:lncRNA from 1 species